UACGUAGGGUGCGAGCGUUAAUCGGAAUUACUGGGCGUAAAGCGCGCGUAGGCGGCUUGAUAAGAUGGGUGUGAAAUCCCCGGGCUUAACCUGGGAACUGCAUCCGAUACUGGACGACUAGAGUGCGAGAGAGGGAGGUAGAAUUCCACGUGUAGCGGUGAAAUGCGUAGAUAUGUGGAGGAAUACCGGUGGCGAAGGCGGCCUCCUGGCUCGACACUGACGCUGAGGUGCGAAAGCGUGGGGAGCAAACAGG
rnacentral:rRNA from 1 species